CAAUGGGAUGUUGGCUGUCAAGAUCUGGGCUUGCUGGUUGCGGCCUGACAUGGGGGUGGGAGCUUGGUCCAUGAUGACUCAGCUCUCUUGGGA
rnacentral:lncRNA from 1 species